rnacentral:rRNA from 1 species
UAGGGAAUCUUCCGCAAUGGGCGAAAGCCUGACGGAGCAACGCCGCGUGAGUGAUGAAGGUCUUCGGAUCGUAAAACUCUGUUAUUAGGGAAGAACAAAUGUGUAAGUAACUAUGCACGUCUUGACGGUACCUAAUCAGAAAGCCACGGCUAACUACGUGCCAGCAGCCGCGGUAAUACGUAGGUGGCAAGCGUUAUCCGGAAUUAUUGGGCGUAAAGCGCGCGUAGGCGGUUUUUUAAGUCUGAUGUGAAAGCCCACGGCUCAACCGUGGAGGGUCAUUGGAAACUGGAAAACUUGAGUGCAGAAGAGGAAAGUGGAAUUCCAUGUGUAGCGGUGAAAUGCGCAGCGAUAUGGAGGAACACCAGUGGCGAAGGCGACUUUCUGGUCUGUAACUGACGCUGAUGUGCGAAAGCGUGGGGAUCAAACAGG